GGGGAGAGUUCCAAGAUCCAGUGCAUUUAAAACCUCAACCGGAACCAAAAAUCGACCCGGUUUGUGGGUCGGUAGGCACUCCAGAUACCCAAAUGUAUGUUUACAAGCAUUGAAAAGGGUUAUUGAUUCUCUCCGAGCCGAGCGGGAUCAAGAGCGGGUUUCCCAUAAACGUCGGCGCGGCCACGGCGACAGCAGACAGGGGAAGAGGACAGGCCAUGAAGAGGAUGAUAAUACGCAUACACGUCUGGCGACUGGGGGAUCGUUUUCUUCGACUAACAUCUGUUCUUACUCAGUCUCUGCUCAGGCUACGAGCUGCUUCAUCUCGCACAAAUGCAUCAGAUCCUUUUCUUUAGUUGGAAUGUGUCCCGAGGAGAGAUGUGUUUCAUGCAGUGGUGGAAUGUAACUAAGUACAUUUACUCAAGUUCUGUACUUAAGU